rnacentral:rRNA from 1 species
UUUUAAAAUUAUUGUAGACUACUCUUUNUUAAUUUAUUUCAUAAAUUUUAAUUUUUAAACUAGGAUUAGAUACCCUAUUAUUUUAAUAUGUAUUUAUGUAUGCCUAGGUAGUAUUAGUUAUGGUCUUGAAACUUAAAAAAUUUGGCGGUAUUUUAGUCUUUUCAGAGGAACCUGUUCUGUAAUCGAUAGUCCACGCUGGAUCUUACUCAUCCUUGUAUAUCAGUUUGUAUACCGCCGUUAUUGAAUAUUUUAUUAGAAUAAUAAUUUUCAAUUACUUUUAUUAAAGUUUAUAUCAGGUCAAGGUGCAGCUUAUGGUUGAGGUUGAAAUGGGUUACAAUAAAUUUAUUUAUAUGGAUGUUAAUAUGAAUGUUUUAAUUGAAGGUGGAUUUGAUAGUAAAUUUAUUUAGAUAAAUAGUUUGAUUUUGGCUCUAAAAUAUGUAC